GGAGGGUUCGCAUAGCGGCCGAGUGCAGGCGCCUUGAAAGCGCCCGAGGGAAACCUCCGUGGGUUCGAAUCCCACACCCUCCGCCC
rnacentral:tRNA from 1 species